rnacentral:rRNA from 1 species
CAGUAGCCGCGGUAAUACGUAGGGUGCGAGCGUUAAUCGGAAUUACUGGGCGUAAAGCGUGCGCAGGCGGUUGUGUAAGACAGGUGUGAAAUCCCCGGGCUUAACCUGGGAACUGCGCUUGUGACUGCACAGCUAGAGUAUGGCAGAGGGGGGCGGAAUUCCACGUGUAGCAGUGAAAUGCGUAGAGAUGUGGAGGAACACCGAUGGCGAAGGCAGCCCCCUGGGCCAAUACUGACGCUCAUGCACGAAAGCGUGGGGAGCAAACAGGAUUAGAGACCCCUGUAGUCCCUGUCUCUUAUAC